AUGUUGGCCAUCUUAAGAAACACGGCUCCGUCUGUCUUCCCCCUGUCUUCCUGCUGCACCAUGACAAGCAGUGCUUCCCAGGAUAAACACCUUGUGUGUCUUGUGACCAGCUAUUCACCGUCCCUGGUGAGAAUUCGGUGGAAUUCUGGCGGUGACACCAAGUGGGGCCAAGAUUUCCCAGAGACGCUGGCCAGCAACGGGUUUUACACCAGGACCAGCUUGCUCACCAUCCCUGCCGGUGACUGGAUUGGCAAAACCUACCAGUGUGACGUGACACACGAUAUGACAAGCCGAACAGUGUCCGCGGAGUUCCCGAAGGAAUCCUGUGGUCCUAUGAUUGCGCCUGAGGUUCGCCUCCUGUUCCCCUCCUGUGAGGAUGACCUCACAGGGAGCUAUCUGGAGCUGGUUUGCCUUCUCCUCAGCUUCCAACCCAACAAAGCCGAGGUGAAAUGGCUCAUGAAUGGAACGGAGACAAGUCACCCCACCCUGGUCUUCUCCUCUGCAAUGGGUGCAGAUGGCUCCUACAUGAGCCAGAGCCGUCUGAACAUCAGCAAGCAGAGCUGGGAGAACGGGGACCUCUUUACCUGCCAUGUGACUCAUCCAGCCUGGGGAACGAAGCCUUCCAUGUACAACACCAGCAAGUGCUUGGCCUGCCCCAAAAGCAAACUCAGACCAACCAUCUACUUGGCCAAACCCUCCUAUGAAGACGUGAUCAAGAAAUCCGGUCAUCUGACCUGUCUAGUUUUGGGUUACGACUUAGCAGCCACCACCAUCACCUGGCAAGUGGAGGGGAAAGUCAGCUCUGCAGGGAAGACAGAACCCCCCGAGAAGAACAACAAUGGGACCACCAGCCUGGUCAGCUCCCACCCAGUGUCGCAGGCACAGUGGGGACAAGGGACCAGAUUUACCUGCAAAGUGAGCACGCUCUGUUCUGGAGAACUCGCCCAGGAGAUAACCAUGGUCAAUAAAGACAUGGCUAAGAAAGAGCCUUCCAUCACCAUCUCAAAAGCCUACCACGAAAAUCUCUCGGGGACCAAAGAGUCCUUGACUCUCAUCUGUGAAGCUAGUGGCUUUUAUCCCGAAGACAUCAGCAUCUCCUGGUUGAAGGAUAACUCCCCAGAACUCACGGCCAGUUACAACAAUGUCCCUGUGGCAGGAAGUAGCACCUUCUCGGCCUACAGCAUCCUGAAGGUCAAUCGAAACGAAGGAACAGAAAACUGUACCUGCAUAGUGCAUCACCCAGCCUUGGAGGAGCCCAAGAGAGUGGAGGAAAAGGUGUCCUUUAGUGGCAGCGACUGUCAUCGACCCCUUCCAAAGGUCUUCCUCCUUCCCCCAUCCCUGGAGGAACUUUAUGUUGGGCAGAACGCCACCAUCACUUGUGUGGUGAGUGGCAUGGAGAGCCCCAGCAGCCUGGAGAUCUCCUGGAGCAAGGGAAAUGGAGGCCUGUUGACGGAGGACCACAGGGAGCCAGUGCUGCAUCCAAAUGGCACCUACAGUGCAGCCAGCGUUCUGCGGGUGUGCGUGGAGGAGUGGCAGGCUGGGGAGGAGUUUACCUGCACUGUGAAGCACCAAGACAUCCCAUCAGCAGAGGUCAAGACUAUCCACAAAAGUCUCGAGGUCUCUCUCCGGGCCCCUUCUGUUUACGUCUCCCCUCCUCAUGCGGAGGAGCUGGCGCUCCAGGAAUGGGCCACCAUCACCUGUCUGGCCUCCGGCUUCCGGCCCAAAGACAUCUUGGUGACAUGGACCCGGAAGGACCGGCCCCUUCCGCAAGAAGCCUACACCAACAUUAGCCCCAUGCGGGAGGCUGGGGAGGAGGAGAGCUACUUCAUCUAUAGCAAGCUCAGAAUCCAGGCCUCUGAAUGGCAGAAGGGGGACACCUACUCCUGCAUGGUGGCGCAUGAAGGCCUGCCCAAGAUUUUCACCCAACGGAGCGUGGACAAGGCCUCCGGGAAACCCACCGCCGUCAAUGUCUCUGUGGUCUUGUCCGACACCGAUGUCACUUGCCACUGA